rnacentral:RNase_P_RNA from 1 species
ACAGAUUCCCGGUCUGUCGCUGGCAGCAUAAGGUGCUGCGAGAGGAAAGUCCGGGCAGCAUAGGGCAUCCCACUUCUGAAAAUGGAAGCUGUUGGCGACAGCAGGUUGGUGCAGAAGAAAACAACCGCCGCCCCUUGGGACGGUAAGGGUGAGAAGGUGGUGUAAGAGACCACCAGCCGAUGGGUGAUCAUCGGGCUGUGCACACUGGGAGCUGCAAGUUCGCGUAUACCAUCGUCUGAGGGUAGCCCGCCCGACUAACUCCGAUGGAGGGUAGAACGCUGGAGCCUAUGGGUGACUGUAGGCGUAGAUAAAUGACAGACAGUGCCGCUCUUGGCACGACAGAACCCGGCUUACAGGGGGUCUGCUUCC